UACGUAGGGGGCGAGCGUUGUCCGGAAUGACUGGGCGUAAAGGGCGCGUAGGCGGCUUUAUAAGUCUGGAGUGAAAGUCCUGCUUUCAAGGUGGGAAUUGCUUUGGAUACUGUAGAGCUUGAGUGCGGAAGAGGUGAGUGGAAUUCCCAGUGUAGCGGUGAAAUGCGUAGAGAUUGGGAAGAACACCAGUGGCGAAGGCGACUCACUGGGCCGUAACUGACGCUGAUGCACGAAAGCGUGGGGAGCGAACAGG
rnacentral:rRNA from 1 species